rnacentral:lncRNA from 1 species
UGCCAUAAAAAUUACCUUCAAAAUACAUAAAUACAUGCGAAAAUACAAAAAAAUUAUAUUUGAAUUAAAAUAUAGAAAAUACACUCAAAUUUGAAAGUAUUUGUACAAAUACAAUGAAUUUAUAUCAUUGUAUGUGACUCUAUAGCAAAGAAGAAGAAAAUUCAUUGCAAAUGGCAUCUUCCGGCCAAGCAAAAUAUUGUAUAUAUUGUAUUAAAACUAAAAGCAAAAACCCGGCCAAAUAUGAGUAUACACUAUCAUAUUAUAUCUAUCAAAAUCUAUUCAGAUGAAUGCACUCAUAUGUGAGAUACAAAGAAGGAAAAGAAGCCAUGGAUUCUGAUAACUCCAUUAGAUCAAGAUUUACUGACGCCUCUAAUCUUCUUCCUCUAUUUCGUUCACCGCUAGUAGUGGACCCAUUGCGACUUCGUGAUUUUUAGAUUUAGAUCUGACAAUGGAAAGAGAGAGAGAGAGAGGUGACUAUUUUGUUGGGAUCCGAUAAAGCUCCACCUGAGAAGAUGACUGGGGACGACGGAGUUAGAUGGCGGCCUAGCUGAGGGCGAAGAGAGAGGAAAAAGGAGAGAGAGUUGAUGGAGAAGAGAU